rnacentral:rRNA from 1 species
GAUGAACGCUGGCGGCGUGCCUAAUACAUGCAAGUCGAGCGAACAGACGAGGAGCUUGCUCCUCUGACGUUAGCGGCGGACGGGUGAGUAACACGUGGAUAACCUACCUAUAAGACUGGGAUAACUUCGGGAAACCGGAGCUAAUACCGGAUAAUAUAUUGAACCGCAUGGUUCAAUAGUGAAAGACGGUUUUGCUGUCACUUAUAGAUGGAUCCGCGCCGCAUUAGCUAGUUGGUAAGGUAACGGCUUACCAAGGCAACGAUGCGUAGCCGACCUGAGAGGGUGAUCGGCCACACGGGAACUGAGACACGGUCCAGACUCCUACGGUAGGCAGCAGUAGGGAAUCUUCCGCAAUGGGCGAAAGCCUGACGGAGCAACGCCGCGUGAGUGAUGAAGGUCUUCGGAUCGUAAAACUCUGUUAUUAGGGAAGAACAAAUGUGUAAGUAACUAUGCACGUCUUGACGGUACCUAAUCAGAAAGCCACGGCUAACUACGUG